UACGGAGGAUCCAAGCGUUUAUCCGGAAUCAUUGGGUUUAAAGGGUCCGUAGGCGGUUUAGUAAGUCAGUGGUGAAAGCCCAUCGCUCAACGGUGGAACGGCCAUUGAUACUGCUGAACUUGAAUUAUUAGGAAGUAACUAGAAUAUGUAGUGUAGCGGUGAAAUGCUUAGAGAUUACAUGGAAUACCAAUUGCGAAGGCAGGUUACUACUAAUGGAUUGACGCUGAUGGACGAAAGCGUGGGUAGCGAACAGG
rnacentral:rRNA from 1 species